rnacentral:misc_RNA from 1 species
ACUUCGAUAUAUUAAUAACUUGCUCAACAUCUAGUAUCUCACCUCAAAACCUACUUCUUCACCUCAUCAUACUCUGCCUCCGGGGCCUGCUCACCACCCUGGGCACCACCGGACGGUGACGACGAUCCACCUGAGCGGCCAGACAAGUGUUCGCCGAUCUUUGAAACCGCCUUGUUGGCAGCAUCAAGCUUCUUCUGUAUGCUUUCUACACUGUCCCCGGCCAUCUCUGCUCGCAAGUCAGACACCGCAGCCUCAAUUUCUG